rnacentral:rRNA from 1 species
CCCAGACUCCUACGGGAGGCAGCAGUGGGGAAUAUUGGGCAAUGGGCGCAAGCCUGACCCAGCAACGCCGCGUGAAGGAAGAAGGCUUUCGGGUUGUAAACUUCUUUUAAGAGGGAAGAGAAGAAGACGGUACCUCUUGAAUAAGCCACGACUAACUACGUGCCAGCAGCCGCGGUAAUACGUAGGGGGCAAGCGUUAUCCGGAUUCACUGGGUGUAAAGGGAGCGUAGACGGCCAUGCAAGCCUGGAGUGAAAGCCCGGGGCCCAACCCCGGGACUGCUCUGGGAACUGUGCGGCUGGAGUGCGGGAGGGGCAGGCGGAAUUCCUGGUGUAGCGGUGAAAUGCGUAGAUAUCAGGAGGAACACCGGCGGCGAAGGCGGCCUGCUGGACCGCGACUGACGUUGAGGCUCGAAAGCGUGGGGAGCAAACAGGAUUAGAUACCCCGGUACG